rnacentral:rRNA from 1 species
UACGAGGGGGGCGAGCGUUGUUCGGAAUUAUUGGGUUUAAAGGGUGCGUAGGCGGUCGGGUAAGUCUGAUGUGAAAUCUCACAGCUUAACUGUGAAACUGCAUUGGAUACUAUCCGGCUCGAGGAAUGGAGGGGAGACUGGAAUACUUGGUGUAGCAGUGAAAUGCGUAGAUAUCAAGUGGAACACCAGUGGCGAAGGCGAGUCUCUGGACAUUUCCUGACGCUGAGGCACGAAAGCCAGGGGAGCAAACGGG